GGACCAGAGAUCAAGAUGGAUGAGGCCACCACCCCCCUUGUGGGUAUCAGGGGAUGGAAGGAGUCUCCAUGAACAGGCUCCACCGUCUGUUUGUCAGCUGUUCGCCUCCACAUGUUUGCUGAGGAAGGAGGUACUGAGGAGACCAAGCAAAUGAGCAGCCUCCCGGGGGCUGAUGGUUCGCGGGGAAACCCAGGCAGGUGCACACACACCACCAGGAAGAGCAGCCUCCAGGCAGGGAAGCUCCAUUGGAGAAGUUGUUGGUCGCCACCACGCCUCAACCACUAAGAUGGUGCUGCCUCCCUCCGGGUGCCCAGUUGAUGCCUGCAACCCAGACGUCAACCCACUUGAUCCCAGCAACCCUUUACCCUGCAGUUCAUCCAUACACAGGACCAGUUGGCUCGAAUAUCCAGCUUUAUUGGUGUGUCUUCCUCCGGACUCCUGGAAUGUCUUAUAAACGUUUUUGAAUUGAGAACAAAAAUCUGGAAGCUGCGUAUACAGCUAGGAGAAACCCGACUUCUCCAUGCUCCACUCCCCAGGGAACCUAGAGCUGUCUGGAAAAUACUGCCCCUAACCUUUCUGUAAACAAAUCCCUACCCAGCACUAAAAGCUGCUUAGUUACGUUUAAAUGUUAGAUGCAAAUCAAAUCAAUUUUAUAUUUUAGGUUACAAAGUGGAACAUUGGCACUGCACUCAGACCUUUCACAAAAGGGAGCGCUUUCCCCCUCGUUAUUGCUGGCAGAUCUGGGGCUAGAACUAAUCGUUUUCAGAUUGUUCCCGAGGCGCUGGAUGCGUGACCCUCCUUCCCAUGCUCGUUCCUCUUGUGUGUCCCGGGAGAAACCUUCCCUCGGCGGCUUGCCUCCUUCUGCAUUGUGAUCUGUAGCCUAGCCUCUUAAAAUGCAUGAACUAACCUUAGGACAUAUAUGCUUAGCAGAAAGUCAAGAUAAACUCCGUAUAAAAUGG
rnacentral:lncRNA from 12 species